GACGAACGCUGGCGGCGUGCUUAACACAUGCAAGUCGAACGGAAAGGCCCUGCUUUUGUGGGGUGCUCGAGUGGCGAACGGGUGAGUAACACGUGAGUAACCUGCCCUUGACUUUGGGAUAACUUCAGGAAACUGGGGCUAAUACCGGAUAGGAGCUCCUGCUGCAUGGUGGGGGUUGGAAAGUUUCGGCGGUUGGGGAUGGACUCGCGGCUUAUCAGCUUGUUGGUGGGGUAGUGGCUUACCAAGGCUUUGACGGGUAGCCGGCCUGAGAGGGUGAACGGCCACAUUGGGACUGAGAUACGGACCAGACUGCUACGGGAGGCAGCAGUGGGGAAUAUUGCACAAUGGGCGGAAGCCUGAUGCAGCAACGCCGCGUGCGGGAUGACGGCCUUCGGGUUGUAAACCGCUUUCGCCUGUGACGAAGCGUGAGUGACGGUAAUGGGCAAAGAAGCACCGGCUAACUACGUG
rnacentral:rRNA from 1 species